rnacentral:rRNA from 1 species
CACGCUGUAAACGAUGAUUACUGGGUGUAGGGGGUAUCGACUCCCUCUGUGCCGAAGCAAACGCGAUAAGUAAUCCACCUGGGGAGUACGGCCGCAAGGCUAAAACUCAAAGGAAUUGACGGGGGCCCGCACAAGCAGUGGAGUAUGUGGUUUAAUUCGAGGCAACGCGAAGAACCUUACCAGGGUUUGACAUCCCGCGCAAGGUCUAGAGAUAGGCUGUUCCCUUCGGGGACGCGGAGACAGGUGG